rnacentral:rRNA from 1 species
UGAGUAACCUGCCCUUAACUCUGGGAUAAGCCUGGGAAACUGGGUCUAAUACUGGAUAUUCACUUCUCAUCGCAUGGUGGGUGGUGGAAAGUUUUUUCGGCUGGGGAUGGGCCCGCGGCCUAUCAGCUUGUUGGUGAGGUAAUGGCUUACCAAGGCGACGACGGGUAGCCGGCCUGAGAGGGCGUCCGGCCACACUGGGACUGAGACACGGCCCAGACUCCUACGGGAGGCAG